UUAAACUAAGAGAGUAAGGGUAGAGCUUUAUUUUCAAUAAUAGAUAGAAGACGAGAUUAUAAAUUUAUUAUAAAAAAAAUUAGGCUUUUUAGUGGCCAUAUUUUUAAAGUAUUUUAACUAUUAAAAUAAUAAAAAAUUUGUUUUAUUUCUCUUAAAUAUUUAGUAAAAUAUUUUUUAUAUUAAAAUAAAAUUAGUAAUAAUGAAAAUAUUAGUAGAUUAAGAUUAUUAAAAUUCUAAGAUUAAAUUAAAAAUAUAUUUUAAUUAAAUUGAUAGGAAAAUUAAAGGAAUUCGGCAAAUUUUUUUCUUGCCUGUUUAACAAAAACAU
rnacentral:rRNA from 1 species